UACGGAGGGUGCAAGCAUUAAUCGGAUUUAUUGGGCGUAAAGGGCGUGUAGGUGGAUAUGUAAGUCAGAUGUGAAAGACCAAAGCUCAACUUUGGAAUGGCAUUUGAAACUGCAUGUCUAGAGGGCAGGCGGGGGAAGCGGAAUUCCACGUGUAGCGGUGAAACGCGUAGAUAUGUGGAGGAACACCUGUGGCGUAGGCGGCUUCCUAGCUUAUUCCUGACACUGAGGCGCGAAAGCAGGGGGAGCAAACAGG
rnacentral:rRNA from 1 species